CCCCAUCUCUAUAGGUGGUAUUGGUGCAUUUGUCCUCCUUGCUUUGCUGGUUCUGUUAUUUCUCCUUCUCCAAGGAAGUCCUCCUAAGGAUCCUUUAUUCUAUGGAUGCCAUUCCAAAUGCAGCCUCCAGCCUUCCCCCAAAGCCAAUGCACAAGGGGACAUGGGACCAAAACACCCAUACGUGCCACAGGACCGGCAGGCAACUUGUGAGUGAAUCUCAGGAACAACAGAGGCUCAUUCCAGUAGAAGCCUCAGCUCAGUGCCGCUCCCUCAUCCCCUAGCCUUGGCUAGCCUGUGCCUUCAGGAACCCUCUUCCAAAAACCCAUUGUUCUUGCACUUACGCGCUUCUGUUUACACACUCUGGUUUGCUGCCUUUUUUUGUUUUUUUUUUCCUUUUAAUUAUUUUUAUUCUAUGGUUUUGAUGAAUGUAUUGUACAUAAUUUGCCCCCAACCCCUAAUGUGUCUGAGUGGAGUUCCUUUGUGGGUGAAGAAAUCAUUAAGACUGGGAGUCCAGUUAGUUCCUCUUUAAAGGAGAUAUCUCUGGAUAAAAUAUUGGCAUGUGUUUUUCUCUUUUUGGGUUGCUUUCUCCUUUAAAAUAAGAUGGUUUGCUUGGCCAAUGAAUCCGAUCAGUGUCUAUUGCUGGGAUGAGUUACAGGCACUGAUUGUGUUAGCUGUGUUUGCUUGCUGAGGAUGAUGGGAACUGUAUGCCAGGAAGAUGCUAGUAUUGGCAUAUUAUAGUUGAAGAAUGUAGUAUUAAAAGAAAACUCACUGUUAAGUACUGCUGUUUUCUAUCAAGAAGGAUGUUGUGAGUUGCAGUUCAAAGAUUCCUGCAGGACCAAUGUGCCCUAUUUAUGAGACAGGGUUCUCUCCUUGAACAUCCCUGCAUAUUUGCAAUUAAAAGACAUGUAAACCCCCAAAACAAAUUAAUGUAAAAUUGGUCUGCCUAGCACUUUUGCAGUAUGUUUUUCUCAUUUUCAGGAUUUCAGCAGUUUGUACCCUACUCAUGUAAUGACAUUAAAGCAACAGCGCCACCUGUUAUUUAUUUUGUCCAUGCGGCCACAGUCUUGUGAUAUCGCCAUGCUUGGAACUGACCUGAAAAACAUCAGGUGACUCUUCUCUGCUCGCUCGCUUCCUUUUCUGAGCAGAGCAAUGUCACAAGAGUUUCCUUUUCUCAGUAACUUAACUUAACAGCAGGUGGCACUGUUUCCCUGUAUUAGCAGUGCAAAUACGGCUCGUGUCUUGAAAACACAGAAGGGAAUAACUCUUCCCGUGGAAGGGGUAAUUCUUCAAUAUUGUGCAGUCUCCCAUUUCCAACACUGCUGUUAUUUAAAGUGUCCGACUCUGGAGCUGGAGCAGCCAGCCAAGCGAUGUUCCCUUUAAUCCUGAGUAUUAUGCUGUGCCGUGUGAGCGCAAUGUGUAGCAAUAACCAGCCGACUAACCAACCUGAAGGUGAAUGGACAUGUCUGUUCAAGAGUCGGAACCAGAAAGCAGAGGGAUUUGCGUAUACUGCAUAUACUUAAAAUCAAUGGCAUUUACAGAUAAAUUUAAAGCCACUGGAAAAGUGAAAUCGCAAUCCAUGUGAUGGACUCGUUUAUUAAAAAAAAGCAGUCAGCAUGAAGUGUGAUAAAUAAUUGUGGUUUUUUUUUGGAUGUAUAAUGAAGAUGAGGAAUUCACCAGGGAAUAGUGGAUUUUCCACACGGAUUUGUUCAUUUUGUAUAAAGAUGCGUUGUUAGAAUAAACCGCUCUAAGACAUUUAACC